UACGUAGGGGGCAAGCGUUGUCCGGAAUCAUUGGGCGUAAAGCGCGCGUAGGCGGCCCGGUAAGUCCGCUCUGAAAGUCCAGGGCUCAACCCUGGAAAGCGGGUGGAUACUGCCGGGCUAGAAUCCGGAAGAGGCGAGUGGAAUUCCUGGUGUAGCGGUGGAAUGCGCAGAUAUCAGGAGGAACACCGGUGGCGAAGGCGGCAUCCUGGACCAUUACUGACACUGAAAAGCGAAAGCCAGGGGAGCAAACGGG
rnacentral:rRNA from 1 species